rnacentral:rRNA from 1 species
CUUAUGCGUUGUUGGGUAGGGGAGCGUUCUGUAAGCCUGUGAAGGUGUACUGUGAGGUAUGCUGGAGGUAUCAGAAGUGCGAAUGCUGACAUAAGUAACGAUAAAGCGGGUGAAAAGCCCGCUCGCCGGAAGACCAAGGGUUCCUGUCCAACGUUAAUCGGGGCAGGGUGAGUCGACCCCUAAGGCGAGGCCGAAAGGCGUAGUCGAUGGGAAACAGGUUAAUAUUCCUGUACUUGGUGUUACUGCGAAGGGGGGACGGAGAAGGCUAUGUUGGCCGGGCGACGGUUGUCCCGGUUUAAGCGUGUAGGCUGGUUUUCCAGGCAAAUCCGGAAAAUCAAGGCUGAGGCGUGAUGACGAGGCACUACGGUGCUGAAGCAACAAAUGCCCUGCUUCCAGGAAAAGCCUCUAAGCAUCAGGUAACAUCAAAUCGUACCCCAAACCGACACAGGUGGUCAGGUAGAGAAUACCAAGGCGCUUGAGAGAACUCGGGUGAAGGAACUAGGCAAAAUGGUGCCGUAACUUCGGGAGAAGGCACGCUGAUAUGUAGGUGAAGCGACUUGCUCGUGGAGCUGAAAUCAGUCGAAGAUACCAGCUGGCUGCAACUGUUUAUUAAAAACACAGCACUGUGCAAACACGAAAGUGGACGUAUACGGUGUGACGCCUGCCCGGUGCCGGAAGGUUAAUUGAUGGGGUUAGCGGUAACGCGAAGCUCUUGAUCGAAGCCCCGGUAAACGGCGGCCGUAACUAUAACGGUCCUAAGGUAGCGAAAUUCCUUGUCGGGUAAGUUCCGACCUGCACGAAUGGCGUAAUGAUGGCCAGGCUGUCUCCACCCGAGACUCAGUGAAAUUGAACUCGCUGUGAAGAUGCAGUGUACCCGCGGCAAGACGGAAAGACCCCGUGAACCUUUACUAUAGCUUGACACUGAACAUUGAGCCUUGAUGUGUAGGAUAGGUGGGAGGCUUUGAAGUGUGGACGCCAGUCUGCAUGGAGCCGACCUUGAAAUACCACCCUUUAAUGUUUGAUGUUCUAACGUUGGCCCCUGAUCGGGGUUGCGGACAGUGUCUGGUGGGUAGUUUGACUGGGGCGGUCUCCUCCUAAAGAGUAACGGAGGAGCACGAAGGUUGGCUAAUCCUGGUCGGACAUCAGGAGGUUAGUGCAAUGGCAUAAGCCAGCUUGACUGCGAGCGUGACGGCGCGAGCAGGUGCGAAAGCAGGUCAUAGUGAUCCGGUGGUUCUGAAUGGAAGGGCCAUCGCUCAACGGAUAAAAGGUACUCCGGGGAUAACAGGCUGAUACCGCCCAAGAGUUCAUAUCGACGGCGGUGUUUGGCACCUCGAUGUCGGCUCAUCACAUCCUGGGGCUGAAGUAGGUCCCAAGGGUAUGGCUGUUCGCCAUUUAAAGUGGUACGCGAGCUGGGUUUAGAACGUCGUGAGACAGUUCGGUCCCUAUCUGCCGUGGGCGCUGGAGAACUGAGGGGGGCUGCUCCUAGUACGAGAGGACCGGAGUGGACGCAUCACUGGUGUUCGGGUUGUCAUGCCAAUGGCACUGCCCGGUAGCUAAAUGCGGAAGAGAUAAGUGCUGAAAGCAUCUAAGCACGAAACUUGCCCCGAGAUGAGUUCUCCCUGAGACUUUAAGUCUCCUGAAGGAACGUUGAAGACGACGACGUUGAUAGGCCGGGUGUGUAAGCGCAGCGAUGCGUUGAGCUAACCGGUACUAAUGAACCGUGAGG